AAUGAACGUUGGCGGCGUGGAUUAGGCAUGCGAGUCGAGCGAGAACCGUAGCAAUACGGGGACAGCGGCGAAAGGUACAGUAACGGGUAGAUUAUCUGCCCUCAGGUUUGGGAUAGCUGCGGGAAACUGCAAGUAAUACCAAAUAAUAUCUCCGGAUCAAAGGUGUGAUUCCGCCUGAGGAUGAGUCUGCCUCCUAUUAGCUAGUUGGUGGGGUAACGGCCUACCAAGGCGUUGAUGGGUAGCGGGUGUGAGAGCACGACCCGCGUCAUUGGGACUGAGACACUGCCCAGACACCUACGGGUGGCUGCAGUCGAGAAUCUUCGGCAAUGGACGCAAGUCUGACCGAGCGACGCCGCGUGUGGGAUGAAGGCCUUCGGGUUGUAAACCACUGUCAGAGGGGAUGAAAUGCAGGUGGGUUCUCCCAUCUGUUUGACAUAGCCUCAGAGGAAGUACGGGCUAAGUUCGUGCCAGCAGCCGCAGUAA
rnacentral:rRNA from 1 species